CUUAGUCGUCGAAGGAUACAUAGGCUUUCAGUAUUCGACUCUUACUCAAAACGUCCCCGACGUAAGGGCGGUAACAUGUCUCUCCGUAUAUCUGAGCUUGAGUAUGUAGGGAAACCCAACUCAUUGGGAGGAUGGAUGAUGGGAUCCUUGCAAAUC
rnacentral:ribozyme from 1 species